UCAUUCAAAAAAUCAGCACUUUGAAGAUCCAAAUGUUGUAUAGAUUGACACUUGGAUAACAAACAAAAGAUUCCAGCAUAACUAUAUCCUUGACAGGAUUGGAGGACAAGCUUUUUCAAAGGAAGACCUCUGGUUGCAAUAGAGGAAAACAAUUCAUCCGUGAUGCAUGUAAAUGACAAAUCAAGACAAGUUAAGUCCUUCAAACUCACGAGAGAGUCAAUAAAAUGUGAGCUAAUGUAAUCAUUGUUUGACAUACAAUUAAUUGAUAGAGACUUCAAAGUUGGUCUCUCACGGAUGGCAGAAGCAAUGCCGUGAUGAGUUAAUAGUGAGCAGUUCCACAUCGCAACAU
rnacentral:lncRNA from 1 species